UUCCGGUUGAUCCUGCCAGAGGUCACUGCUAUUGGGAUUCGACUAAGCCAUGCGAGUUGUGAGGGUUCGGCCCUCAGCUGACGGCUCAGUAACACGUAGAUAAUUUGCCCUUAGGUGGAGGAUACCCUCGGGAAACUGAGAAUAAUACUCCAUAGAUCUAGUCUGCUGGAAUGCUUUUAGAUCGAAAGAUUUAUCGCCUAAGGAUAAGUCUGCGGACUAUCAGGUUGUAGUCAGGGUAAAGACCUGACUAGCCUACGACGGAUACGGGUAGUGAGAGCUUUAGCCCGGAGAUGAUAUCUGAGACACGAUAUCAGGCCCUACGGGGCGCAGCAGGCGCGAAAACUUUGCACUGUGCGAAAGCACGACAAGGGAAUCCCAAGUGCUGGCUCGUAAGAGUCAGCUGUUUUUCUGUCUAAAACGCAGAGAGAGUAAGGGCUGGGUAAGACGGGUGCCAGCCGCCGCGGUAAUACCUGCAGCCCAAGUGGUGGCCGCUAUUAUUGGGCCUAAAACGUCCGUAGCCGGUUCUAUAAAUGCCUGGGUAAAUCGUACGGCUUAACCGUACGAAUUCCGGGUAGACUGUUCAACUUGGGACCGGGAGAGGCUAGAGGUACUCCUGGAGUAGAGGUGAAAUUCUGUAAUCCUAGGGGGACCACCAGUGGGCAAGCGCGUCUAGCUAGAACGGGUCUGACGGUGAGGG
rnacentral:rRNA from 1 species